rnacentral:rRNA from 1 species
UAGCCUUUUAAUUGGAGGCCUGCAUGAAUGGCUUGACGAGCGCCCUGCUGUCUCUCUUCCCAUGAACUUUUAAAUUAACUUUCGCGUGCAAAGGCGCGAAUGGCUGAGUUAGACGAAAAGACCCUAUGCAUCUUUACUGAGAGAGAAGAAAGUUCUUUAGCUUGGUUUAGCUGGGGCAGCUGAGGAAAAGGCAAAAUUUCCUUAAUAUAAGUCAUACUGGUGGGUUUAGAUCCAGGCUCUUUAGCGGGCUUGACAAGUAGAAAAGUUACGCUAGGGAUAACAGCGUUAUCCUUCUGUGGAGGUCUUAUCUGCAGGAGGGAUUGCGACCUCGAUGUUGAAUUAGGGAUAUACCAGAAAGGCGCAGAAGCUUUUAUUGUGGGUCU